rnacentral:rRNA from 1 species
UACGGAGGGUGCAAACGUUGCUCGGAAUCAUUGGGCGUAAAGCGCACGUAGGCGGACUGCUAAGUCGGACGUGAAAUCCCUCGGCUUAACCGAGGAAGUGCAUUCGAAACUGGCAGUCUUGAGUACGGGAGAGGGUCGCGGAAUUCCCGGUGUAGUGGUGAAAUGCGUAGAUAUCGGGAGGAACACCAGUGGCGAAGGCGGCUUUCUGGCCUGUUCUUGACGCUGAGGCGCGAAAGCUAGGGGAGCGAACGGG